rnacentral:rRNA from 1 species
UGCCAGACUCCUACGGGAGGCAGCAGUGAGGAAUAUUGGUCAAUGGGCGGGAGCCUGAACCAGCCAAGUCGCGUGAGGGAAGACGGUCCUAUGGAUUGUAAACCUCUUUUGUCGGGGAGCAAAAGACGCCACGUGUGGCGUUCCGAGAGUACCCGAAGAAAAAGCAUCGGCUAACUCCGUGCCAGCAGCCGCGGUAAUACGGAGGAUGCGAGCGUUAUCCGGAUUUAUUGGGUUUAAAGGGUGCGCAGGCGGAAGAUCAAGUCAGCGGGAAAAUUGAGAGGCUCAACCUCUUCGAGCCGUUGAAACUGGUUUUCUUGAGUGAGCGAGAAGUAUGCGGAAUGCGCAGUGUAGCGGUGAAAUGCUUAGAUAUUGCGCAGAACUCCGAUUGCGAAGGCAGCAUACCGGCGGCGAUCUGACGCUGAGGCACGAAAGCGUGGGUAUCGAACAGGAUUAGAUACCCUUGUA